rnacentral:lncRNA from 1 species
GUUGGAUUCUGAGAAUUUUGUCUUUCAGCCAGCAAUUCCAAUGCGACUACCCAAGGCUUCAACUACUGGACCUCGAGCGGGAAAGAUACCAAAAACUGUACACGUGACUCAGCUCCACGGAUGCCCAGUGAAACAGACAGUUCAUCCCCCUCAGGUGUAGGCUCAACAAUUCAAGGUGAUGUCUUCACCAGCACAACCAGAACAUCUUCAGAAGUUCCCACAACUGCCAGAUCUACUAACAGCAGUCACAUCCAUAUCACUGGUGAGUCAUUUACCUGUUUAAAAAAUUGUGUGUCUUACUCACUCAACAAAUAAUUUGUCGAGUACCUACCAUUUACCAGACCUGGUGUCGGUUGUUGGAUAUACACUGUGAAAGAAGUAGGUCUUUCUCAUUUUGUACGUAGAAGAGACCUGUGUAAACAUUGGCCUUCUGAAGAUUAUAAUCGAUUAUGGAUGAUAUACAGCAAGUAAUCAUAUAAUUAAUUUGUGACAAAUGCUAUGAAAUAGUACAAGGCGUUGUCAGAAUAUAACAGAAAGAUCUGAUUCUUACUGGGAACAAGAAAGGAGCCUCUGAGGAUAUAUUGAAAUUAAAAUGUGAAAAAUGAGGAAACCUAGCCAGGUGAAAAGUAGUGAGAGCAUUUUAUCCUGCGAAAAUAUAUCUGAGACCAGAAAGAUUGUUGGAACAAAGAGUAUUUAUAAUUAAACUAAUAACAUUUUGUCAAUACUAAAUAUGAUUUCUUGUUUUAUCUCAUAAGAGAUCAAGGCCCUCCUAACCCAGGGGCAUUAUCAAGAGGUGGUCACUUGACUGGUGAAUGCUCCAGUUGGGUACUCAGCUUAUUUUGCAUCGAAGGUCAUCCAGCCCUCAGAUCAUUGGAGUACCAUCCUGCGCACAACAUGGCACUAGAACUGCAAACUGAAGGCCCAACAGUGUCUUUCAGAUAUUGGUGGCUUAGAACUGCCUGGUUCAGAGAUGGGCAAGAUUGGAGCCCUGCUUCUCCAUUGAGACAUCCCUGAAGUCAGUGGUCUCAUUUUCUGUAUUUGGUAGGGAGAAACAUUUUAAGCAUUGAUGUAAGACCCCUUUAAAACCUUUUGUUCUUGGGGUGCCUGGGUGGCUCAGCUGGUUAAGCGUCCAACUCUUGAUUUGGGCUCAGGUCAUGAUCUCACGGUUCAUAGGAUUGAGCCCCAUGUCGGACUCUGCACUGACAGCAUGGAGCCUGCCUGGGAUUCUCUCCUCUCUCUGCCCCUCCUCUGCUCUCUGUCUCUCCUUCUCUGUAGCUCUUAAAAUAAAUAAACAAACAUUUAAAAAGUAAAAAUAAAUAAAACCCUUUUGUUCUUUUAUUUAUCUGAAACUUUGGAGUAAAAUGUUGUGUCCCACCAUGUUACCAGCGUAGAGCCUAGUAAAUUUUGACUUGACUAAAGUAGAACUAUGUGUAGUCUUGGGUUAGCAUCUGUAUGAUUGUUUCCCUUAUGAUUGUGAUAGUCUAGUCUUUACCAGUUCCACUACUUCCAUGAAC